rnacentral:rRNA from 1 species
UACGUAGGGCGCAAGCGUUGUCCGGAAUUAUUGGGCGUAAAGAGCUCGUAGGCGGCUUGUCACGUCGGUUGUGAAAGCCCGGGGCUUAACCCCGGGUCUGCAGUCGAUACGGGCAGGCUAGAGUGUGGUAGGGGAGAUCGGAAUUCCAGGUGUAGCGGUGAAAUGCGUAGAUAUCUGGAGGAACACCGGUGGCGAAGGCGGCAUCCUGGACCAAUUCUGACGCUGAGUGAGCGAAAGCCAGGGGAGCAAACGGG